UCCCAGAGGAGAUCAUCCAGCUCGUCAUGCUAGAGCACUUUUUCAAUGUGCUCCCCAACGACAAGGCGACGACGCAUUCGUAUGUCAAUGCAUAUCAACUUUGAUGCCAUUUACUGCGCCUACCAUGGUGACCAUGGGUAACGGGGAAUCAGGGUUUUCGAUUCCGUACAGGGACCCUGACAAAAGGCUACCACAUGUAAGGAAGGCAGCAGGUGCGCAAAUGACCCACUCCGGACGCGGGGAGGUAGUGAUGA